AUUGAACGCUGGCGGCAGGCCUCCCACAUGCAAGUCGCACGAGUGGCGGACGGGUGAGUAAUGUCUGGGAAACUGCCUGAUGGAGGGGGAUCACUACUGGAAACGGUAGCUAAUACCGCAUACCAUCAGAUGUGCCCAGAUGGGAUUAGCUUGUUGGUGGGGUAACGGCUCACAAAGGCGUCGAUCCCUAGCUGGUCUGUGAGGAUGACCAGCCCAACUGGAAGUGAGACAGGGUCCAGACGCCUACGGUAGGCAGCAGUGGGGAAUAUUGCACAAUGGGCGCAAGCCUGAUGCAGCCAUGCCGCGUGUAUGAAGAAGGCCUGCGGGUUGUAAAGUACUUUCAGCGGGGAGGCGUUACCCGCAGAAGAAGCAACGGCUAACUCCGGGCCAGCCGCCGCGGUAAUUC
rnacentral:rRNA from 1 species